AAGUCGUAACAAGGUUUCCGUAGGUGAACCUGCGGAAGGAUCGUUAACACAUCCCCAAUGUCAUCCAAAAGGGUCACAUCGAUCCUUUUGGAUCACAAACCAACCUUUUGUACGAACCGUUUUCCCACCCGAGGCUUUCUUUGUUGUUUUCAGGCAAUUGCCCAUGGGUCUUUCUUUUUUUCCCGGUUUCAAUUCGGGGAGAAGGAAAUAGACUGGCUUGACUGAACAAGGCCGCCUGUACCCUGUAUUUUUUCAUCCACAAACGAUUCUGAAUUUUUUGAAACGACUGAUAAUCGUGUUUCUUUUUGUCCUUGCUCGCUUUUGAAGCGUGGCGUGGGCGAAAAAAAAACACAACAAAUCCAACAAACGUUGAAACAACUCUUAACAACGGAUAUCUUGGCUCUC
rnacentral:misc_RNA from 1 species